rnacentral:rRNA from 1 species
GGGUGCUGCAUGGUUGUCGUCAGCUCGUGCCGUGAGGUGUCGGGUUAAGUCCCAUAACGAGCGCAACCCCUACCUUUAGUUGCCAUCAGGUUAAGCUGGGGACUCUAAAGGAACUGCCUACGCAAGUAGUGAGGAAGGCGGGGAUGACGUCAAAUCAGCACGGCCCUUACGUCCAGGGCUACACACGUGCUACAAUGGCCGAUACAGAGGGCAGCUACCUGGUGACAGGAUGCAAAUCUCCAAAGUCGGUCUCAGUUCGGAUCGGAGUCUGCAACCCGACUCCGUGAAGUUGGAUUCGCUAGUAAUCGCGCAUCAGCCAUGGCGCGGUGAAUACGUUCCCGGGCCUU